rnacentral:tRNA from 1 species
GCACCCGUAGCUCAGCUGGAUAGAGCGCUGCCCUCCGAAGGCAGAGGCCGGGGAUUCGAAUUCCUCCGGGUGCG